rnacentral:rRNA from 1 species
ACGCUGGCGGCACGCCUAACACAUGCAAGUCGAACGAAGUAGCAAUACUUAGUGGCGAACGGGUGAGUAUAAUGUGGGUAUCUGCCUUUUGGUUUGGAAUAACACGAGGAAACUUGUGCUAAUACCGGAUAAGCCCUUACGGGGAAAGUUUUAACGCCGAAAGAUGAGCCCGCACUUGAUUAGCUAGUUGGUAAGGUAAAAGCUUACCAAGGCUACGAUCAAUAGCUGAUCUGAGAGGAUGAUCAGCCACAUUGGGACUGAGACACGGCCCAAACUCCUACGGGAGGCAGCAGUGGGGAAUCUUGCACAAUGGGGGAAACCCUGAUGCAGCGAUGCCGCGUGAGUGAAGAAGGCCCUUGGGUUGUAAAGCUCUUUCGUCGGGGAAGAAAAUGACUGUACCCGAAUAAGAAGGUCCGGCUAACUUCGUGCCAGCAGCCGCGGUAAUACGAAGGGACCUAGCGUAGUUCGGAAUUACUGGGCUUAAAGAGCACGUAGGUGGUUAGAAUAGUUGGUGGUGAAAUCCCAGAGCUUAACUCUGGAACUGCCACCAAAACUUUUUGACUAGAGUGUGAUAGAGGUAAGCGGAAUUUCUAGUGUAGAGGUGAAAUUCGUAGAUAUUAGAAAGAACACCAAUUGCGAAGGCAGCUUUCUGGAUCAUUACUGACACUGAGGUGCGAAAGCAUGGGUAGCGAAGAGGAUUAGAUACCCUCGUAGUCCAUGCUGUAAACGAUGUGUGCUAGACGUUGGAAAUUUAUUUUUCAGUGUCGCAGCAAAAGCGUUAAGCACACCGCCUGGGGAGUACG